rnacentral:rRNA from 1 species
AUGGUGAACCGCGAUGGGAGGACAAACAUAUUUCGUGGGGCUACCUACGAAAUCUAUACCAACAAACUCGUCUCCCGUGGGUGGUCAUUGGUGAUUUUAAAUUCCCAUGAAAAGGAGGGCGGAGCUCCACGACCAAUGCGCAUGAUGCAGAAUUUUGGAGAUGCUUUGGUGGACUGCGAACUCGAGAACAUGGGGUGCAUAGGAGAACUAUAUACAUGGUGAAUAAGAAGGAUCAGAGAGCGCUUAGAUAGGGCAGUCUGUAAUGGUCAGUUUCAUGGUCUCUUUCCCAUGGCCAAGAUCUCAAAUGUCGCACAUACUAAGUCAGGCCACCGUCCUCUUUUGAUAGAUACAGAGGGUGACACCGUGGGUGAUCACUUUCAUGCAAAACUGAAGCAAUUUGGAGCCCUCUGGCUCUAG